UACAGAGGUGGCAAGCGUUGUUCGGAAUUAUUGGGCGUAAAGAGCACGUAGGCGGUUCUGCAAGUCGGCUGUGAAAGCCUUCCGCUCAACGGAAGAACAGCAGUUGAUACUACAGGACUAGAGUGCGGGAGGGGAGAGUGGAACUUCUGGUGGAGCGGUGAAAUGCGUAGAUAUCAGAAGGAACGCCGGCGGCGAAAGCGACUCUCUGGCCCGUAACUGACGCUGAGUGUGCGAAAGCUAGGGGAGCAAACGGG
rnacentral:rRNA from 1 species